rnacentral:rRNA from 1 species
GGCCUGGCUGGACGGUCCGCCUUCUGGGUGAGUACUGUCUGUGGUCGGGUCCUACCUUCUGGCGAAGCGUCAUGGCCUUCACCGGCCGUGGCGGGGAGCCAGGACUUUUACUGUGAAAAAAUUAGAGUGUUCAAAGCAGGCACGCGCUUGAAUACAUUAGCAUGGAAUAAUGGAAUAGGACAGUGGUUCUAUUUGUUGGUUUCUAGGACCGUUGUA